rnacentral:rRNA from 1 species
CUGGAACUGAGACACGGUCCAGACACCUACGGGUGGCAGCAGUCGAGAAUCUUUCACAAUGGGGGCAACCCUGAUGGAGCGACGCCGCGUGGAGGAUAAGGUCUUCGGAUUGUAAACUCCUGUCAUGCGAGAACAAGGUUGCGGGGCUAACACCGCCGCAAAUUGAUGGUACCGCAAGAGGAAGAGACGGCUAACUCUGUGCCAGCAGCCGCGGUAAUACAGAGGUCUCAAGCGUUGUUCGGAAUCACUGGGCGUAAAGGGUGCGUAGGUGGCGUGGCAAGUCAGAUGUGAAAGCCCGGGGCUCAACCUCGGAAUUGCAUCCGAUACUGCCAUGCUAGAGUACUGAAGAGGUGACUAGAAUUCUAGGUGUAGCAGUGAAAUGCGUAGAUAUCUAGAGGAAUACCAACGGCGAAGGCAGGUCACUGGGCAGUUACUGACACUGAGGCACGAAGGCCAGGGGAGCAAACGGGAUUAGAUACCCCGGUAGUCCUGGCAGUAAACGGUG